rnacentral:rRNA from 1 species
UACGGGGGGAGCAAGCGUUGUUCGGAUUUACUGGGCGUAAAGGGCGCGUAGGCGGCCAGCACAAGUCAGUUGUGAAAUCUCCGGGCUUAACUCGGAAAGGUCAACUGAUACUGUGCGGCUAGAGUGCAGAAGGGGCAACUGGAAUUCUCGGUGUAGCGGUGAAAUGCGUAGAUAUCGAGAGGAACACCUGCGGCGAAGGCGGGUUGCUGGGCUGACACUGACGCUGAUGCGCGAAAGCUAGGGUAGCAAACGGG